UACGGAGGAUCCAAGCGUUAUCCGGAAUCAUUGGGUUUAAAGGGUCCGUAGGCGGUUUAGUAAGUCAGUGGUGAAAGCCCAUCGCUCAACGGUGGAACGGCCAUUGAUACUGCUAGACUUGAAUUAUUAGGAAGUAACUAGAAUAUGUAGUGAGCGGUGAAAUGCUUAGAGAUUACAUGGAAUACCAAUUGCGAAGGCAGGUUACUACUAAUGGAUUGACGCUGAUGGACGAAAGCGUGGGUAGCGAACAGG
rnacentral:rRNA from 1 species